CCGAUCGACGACCUCAGUCGCAAACUGAGAAAGCUGUAAAUAAUCAACCGACUGUAAAGGUGAUCAACAUGAUCUCCAGAUGACCAAAUUGUGGGGCAACUUCUGAAGAAGAGUCGGUUAAAUGAUGACGACUCAACAAUGUAAUAACUUUUUUUGUAAGAAGAUGUUCGGAGAAUUCAGACUCUCCAUGAUGAUGCUGUUAUUGUCUUAGC
rnacentral:lncRNA from 1 species